UACAGAGGUCCCAAGCGUUGUUCGGAUUCACUGGGCGUAAAGGGCGCGUAGGCGGUCCUGUAAGUGGUGUGUGAAAUCCGAUGGCUCAACCAUCGAGCUGCGCUCCAAACUGCAGGACUUGAGUACAGCAGAGGAAAGUGGAAUUCCCGGUGUAGCGGUGAAAUUCGUAGAUAUCGGGAGGAACACCGUUGGCGAAGGCGACUUUCUGGGCUGCUACUGACGCUGAAGCGCGAAAGUCAGGGGAGCGAACAGG
rnacentral:rRNA from 1 species